CACACAUUAAAAUUCUGUGACAAUGAUCUGAGUUUGCGAUCAUCCCUCAAAUAUAAGUGACACAAUGCACAAAAUGGCACCAAUGACGUACAAGUUUGACUGGACACACAUGAAGCAAGAGAAAGAAUUGUAGAAGAGUGUACAGUGCUGAGCUUUCACACGUUUGUCUGCAGGUUUUUCUGUCAGUUUAUAUUUUGUAAAUCUUUUUUGACAGUCGUACCAAAGUGCAUCUCUCUGGCCACAGACGAGUUCUCCCAAGUCCACGUGAGUCUCCAAAAUGUCCAGAAAGUGAACCCGUCCUCGUGAUGAGAGAACUUCUGGCUCAGAUUGUUGCAGCCGAUGAGAUCACAAACGUCUCACUUCCCUACAGUUAAUCUACGUCUUCAGAUCCUCCGGGAGAGAAAGAGCCCACAGUGCGCAGGACGGACGAACACCGAGCAACACGGCUGUACAGUCAGUCCUCCACAGUCAGAAGCAGCAGCAGCAGCAGAAACUCUUCCCUUCUUGUGUCAGCAGAUCCUGCGUCCUGACCUCGGUCUGCACCAUGGACAGACGGUGUGAUCUCAUCUCAGACACCAUGCCCAGGAUGUCCACGAACUCGUGCUCUCUGAUGUGCUGCAUCAGGCGAUCCAGAGCGAUGAAGAGGUUUCAGACCAUGCGAGCGUGACCCUGACCUGCAGUGGACGAUGAUGGGGUCUUUGGUCCUGUUGGCCUGCUGGCGGACGAUGUGCACAAACUGCAGGAUGCUCUCGAUGGCGUUGACAGUGGGGACUCCGUGGUCGGGCCACGAGGUGUAAUUCAGGUGGAGGACGUCCAGGGACUCAUCCGCCUGCAGGGGGAGACAGAGAGUGAUAUUAAGGGACUUAAAUACACACACAUGGAGCAAUGUUUGGAGGGGAGGAGCUGGUUCUCACAUAUCCCAGUCUGAUCUUUCUGAUGGUCCACUCUGGAGACUCUGUUUCAGAGAGCAUCUCUGCACUGAUCUCUCCGUACAUCACAGGCUCAUCGGUGAACGGCCAGUAGUGAUCGCACUUCACCUGAAACACACACAAACACACAUGCACACAAUUCACUAUUGUUUCAGCUGCAGUUGUUAAACAGUCGGGUCUUCAUACCUCCAUUAAGUCAUUAAUUAUUAAUGAAAUGUGUUCGUGUAAGAGAUGAGACUGACCCUGCGUCGCUCGUUGCACUGUGUGAGCAUGACGAUGAUCGGAGACUUCUCCUGCAGAACCAUCUUCCAGAAAUCAUUACGAGUUUCAGGGAGCGGACCCUGAGUGGCGAUGUACUCUUUAGUGUGUUUGUAGCCCUGAAUAUCACAAAGAAACACAUUAAACAUAAAUAUUAACAGCUGUAAAUGAAACACAGACUGAUUUACAUGAAGUUUCAGAAAUGUACACCACAGGAAACAAACAAGGAAAUACAGCCCACUGGUUUCAUAAAGGUAGUGGUCAAUGUAUUCUACAAACGUGUGUAAUAUAAGCUGUUUUUCUAGAAUCUGAUGUUUUCUUCUAGGUAAUUUAUUAAAGAGGAUGAUGAAGAGGAAUAACUCACAGGUAUGUAGUUGGCAUUGAUGUAGUCUAAACCUUCAUCGUUGUGCAUCGACAUCAGCUUCACUCGACUGAAGUCGUCUGUGGUCAAGACAUAAAAACAGUCCAAUCAGUCAGAGUGUAAUCAGCUGAUCAGCUGAGAGGAACUCAUGAUGUUUGUUCAAGAUGUCUACAACAACAUAAAGUCG